rnacentral:rRNA from 1 species
GAUGAACGCUAGCGACAGGCUUAACACAUGCAAGUCGAGGGGCAGCACAGGUAGCAAUACCGGGUGGCGACCGGCGCACGGGUGAGUAACGCGUAUGCAACUUACCUAUCAGAGGGGGAUAACCCGGCGAAAGUCGGACUAAUACCGCAUGAAGCAGGGGCCCCGCAUGGGGAUAUUUGCUAAAGAUUCAUCGCUGAUAGAUAGGCAUGCGUUCCAUUAGGCAGUUGGCGGGGUAACGGCCCACCAAACCGACGAUGGAUAGGGGUUCUGAGAGGAAGGUCCCCCACAUUGGUACUGAGACACGGACCAAACUCCUACGGGAGGCAGCAGUGAGGAAUAUUGGUCAAUGGGCGUAAGCCUGAACCAGCCAAGUCGCGUGAGGGAUGAAGGUUCUAUGGAUCGUAAACCUCUUUUAUAAGGGAAUAAAGUGCGGGACGUGUCCCGUUUUGUAUGUACCUUAUGAAUAAGGAUCGGCUAACUCCGUGCCAGCAGCCGCGGUAAUACGGAGGAUCCGAGCGUUAUCCGGAUUUAUUGGGUUUAAAGGGUGCGUAGGCGGCCUUUUAAGUCAGCGGUGAAAGUCUGUGGCUCAACCAUAGAAUUGCCGUUGAAACUGGGAGGCUUGAGUAUGUUUGAGGCAGGCGGAAUGCGUGGUGUAGCGGUGAAAUGCUUAGAUAUCACGCAGAACCCCGAUUGCGAAGGCAGCCUGCCAAGCCAUGACUGACGCUGAUGCACGAAAGCGUGGGGAUCAAACAGGAUUAGAUACCCUGGUAGUCCACGCAGUAAACGAUGAUCACUAGCUGUUUGCGAUACACAGUAAGCGGCACAGCGAAAGCGUUAAGUGAUCCACCUGGGGAGUACGCCGGCAACGGUGAAACUCAAAGGAAUUGACGGGGGCCCGCACAAGCGGAGGAACAUGUGGUUUAAUUCGAUGAUACGCGAGGAACCUUACCCGGGUUUGAACGCAUUCGGACCGAGGUGGAAACACCUUUUCUAGCAAUAGCCGUUUGCGAGGUGCUGCAUGGUUGUCGUCAGCUCGUGCCGUGAGGUGUCGGCUUAAGUGCCAUAACGAGCGCAACCCUUGCCACUAGUUACUAACAGGUGAUGCUGAGGACUCUGGUGGGACUGCCAGCGUAAGCUGCGAGGAAGGCGGGGAUGACGUCAAAUCAGCACGGCCCUUACAUCCGGGGCGACACACGUGUUACAAUGGCGUGGACAAAGGGAAGCCACCUGGCGACAGGGAGCGAAUCCCCAAACCACGUCUCAGUUCGGAUCGGAGUCUGCAACCCGACUCCGUGAAGCUGGAUUCGCUAGUAAUCGCGCAUCAGCCAUGGCGCGGUGAAUACGUUCCCGGGCCU